CUACGUGCCAGCAGCCGCGGUAAUACGUAGGUGGCGAGCGUUGUCCGGAAUCAUUGGGCGUAAAGGGAGCGCAGGCGGGCCGGUAAGUCUUACUUAAAAGUGCGGGGCUCAACCCCGUGAUGGGAGAGAAACUAUCGGUCUUGAGUACAGGAGAGGAAAGCGGAAUUCCCAGUGUAGCGGUGAAAUGCGUAGAUAUUGGGAAGAACACCAGUGGCGAAGGCGGCUUUCUGGACUGCAACUGACGCUGAGGCUCGAAAGCCAGGGGAGCGAACGGGAUUAGAUACCCCGGUAGUCCUGGCCGUAAACGAUGGGUACUAGGUGUAGGAGGUAUCGACCCCUUCUGUGCCGGAGUUAACGCAAUAAGUACCCCGCCUGGGGAGUACGACCGCAAGGUUGAAACUCAAAGGAAUUGACGGGGGCCCGCACAAGCGGAGGAACAUGUGGUUUAAUUCGAUGAUACGCGAGGAACCUUACCCGGGAU
rnacentral:rRNA from 1 species